GACGAACGCUGGCGGCGUGCUUAACACAUGCAAGUCGAACGAAGUGGCGAACGGGUGAGUAACGCGUAAUCAACCUGCCCUUCAGCGGGGGACAACAGUCGGAAACGCCUGCUAAUACCGCCUACAGAAGCAGGGGAUUGCGUCUGAUUAGCUAGUUGGAGGGGUAACGGCCCACCAAGGCGAUGGUUAUUAGCCGGUCUGAGAGGAUGAACGGCCACAUUGGGACUGAGACACGGCCCAGACACCUACGGGAGGCAGCAGUGGGGAAGCUUCCGCAAUGGACGAAAGUCUGACGGAGCAACGCCGCGUGAGUGAUGACGGCCUUCGGGUUGUAAAGCUCUGUUAAUCGGGACGCGGUACCGGAAUAGAAAGCCACGGCUAACUACGUGCCAGCAGCCGCGGUAAUUC
rnacentral:rRNA from 1 species